rnacentral:lncRNA from 1 species
GCUUCCUCACUUCAACAGCUCCAGGCGAUCUCAUUCAUGGCAGCGAUCUCGUUUUUUCCUCCAGGCCAAAUGUUUUCUUUUCAGACUUCAGAGUUCAUUCUUCGACUCUUCAUCAACAGCUCUCUGCCUCUCUCUCUUUAUUUCCAUCAUCAACGGAUCCUCUUUAGUCUUCCCUCUUCAUCAACAGCAGCAUCGAUCU